rnacentral:tRNA from 1 species
GAGCCUAUAGCUCAAUGGUAGACUGUGUGAUUAACAUGCACAAGGUCCUGGGUUCAAUCCCCAGUACUUCCA